rnacentral:lncRNA from 1 species
GAGCUUUUUAGCAGAGGACCUCACUAGGCAGCACCACAUUCGAGAAACCCCUGGAGCCUGGAGAACGACUUGCUGUAGCAUUGAGAAGCAAUGCUUCCUAACGUAUCCAGCCUACGACUGCCUGCUGAAGCCAGCGAUGCUUCUGACUGCGGACUGCUGUGGUGUGCCUCAGAAUCCUCAGGAACCAGAACUUCUUGAAACAUCGGUGAUUCAAGAGAUUCCAAAAUGUCCUGAGACUCCACAGACUCAUGCGACGCCGAAGACAGAGUUGAUGCUGGCGCUUGUGACUCUUCACUUGACGGUGAUGGCACUUCAAGUGUUGCCAGAUCGGAAAACUGGCACAUUUUUUGUUAAUAUGUCUGCAGCACUUCCCUCCUCACUCGAUGGGGGCACUGGUGGAAGGCUGGCGGACAUCCUGCAUGUAAGCGUAAUAAGGUUUGCACAUACUGUCAAUGUGUAAAUAAUGUGCCAGUCUGGAUGCAAAAAUAUAUGAAGGCUCAAAUCCGUCCACA